CAACCCAAGGAAAAGAGUUAUCGCUGAAGGACUGAAGACUCCUUUUAACCUUUGCAAGGCAUCUGAAAAUGAAGGAGCUCAAAGUGUGUUGUUAAUGGGAAGGGGAAAAAAAAAAGCAAACCAGCUCUUCUAUCUGGAAGAUUGUGAAAUAUUUCCCAACAUUUCACAUACUGAGACCAGAAGUAGGGAGAAGACUCACAAUGGAAGGACCUUUUCUGUCUUUGAAUGUGGUGUUCUACUCCUCCAUAACACCGAGAUGAUCAGAGCCCUGGCAGGGCAUUAGUCUGUCCAAGUGCCAGCAGAGAAGCUCCAACCUGACAGC
rnacentral:lncRNA from 1 species